AUUCCGGUUAUCCUGCCGGAGGUCAUUGCUAUUGGAGUCCGAUUUAGCCAUGCUAGUUGCACGAGUUUAGACUCGUAGCAGAUAGCUCAGUAACACGUGGCCAAACUACCCUAUGGAUCCAAAUAACCUCGGGAAACUGAGGCUAAUGUGGAAUAACGUUCAUCGCCUGGAGUGGCACGAACGCGAAACGUUACGGCGCCAUAGGAUGUGGCUGCGGCCGAUUAGGUAGACGGUGGGGUAACGGCCCACCGUGCCCAUAAUCGGUACGGGUUGUGAGAGCAAGAGCCCGGAGACGGUAUCUGAGACAAGAUACCGGGCCCUACGGGCGCAGCAGGCGCGAAACCUUUACACUGCACGCGAGUGCGAUAAGGGGACUCCGAGUGCGAGGGCAUAUAGUCCUCGCUUUUCACGACCGUAAGGUGGUCGUAGAAUAAGUGCUGGGCAAGACCGGUGCCAGCCGCCGCGGUAAAUACCGGCAAGCACGAGUGAUGACCGCUAUUAUUGGGCCUAAAGCGUCCGUAGCUGGCCACGCAAGUCUAU
rnacentral:rRNA from 1 species